rnacentral:rRNA from 1 species
UUAGAUACCCCACUAUGCUUUGCCCUAAACAUUGAUAGUUUAAUACAAUCGCUAUCCGCCUGGGAACUACGAGCAGUAGCUUAAAACCCAAAGGACUUGGCGGUGCUUUAGACCCCCCUAGAGGAGCCUGUUCUAAAACCGAUAACCCCCGUUCAACCUCACCUUUUCUUGUUCCCCCCGCCUAUAUACCGCCGUCGUCAGCUUACCCUUUGAAGGCCCUUUAGUAAGCAUAAUUGGCACAGCCUAAAACGUCAGGUCGAGGUGUAGCGUAUGGAAAGGGAAGAAAUGGGCUACAUUCCCUGUUACAGUGAAUUACGGAUAAUACCACUGAAACGUGUAUCUAGAAGGAGGAUUUAGCAGUAAGCAGAAAGUAGAGCGUUCUGCUGAAACCGGCCCUGAAGCGCGCACACACCGCCCGUCAGCC